AGCUCCAAUAGCGUAUAUUUAAUUUGCUGUGUUUAAAAAGCUCGUAGUUGGAUCUCGGCAGUCAGGGAGCGGUGUGCUUUGUAGCACUUACUGCCCCAUUGACUGUAGUUUUGCCAGAGGUCUAUGGGUGCUCUUAAUCGAGUGUCUUUAGAUGCUGGCAGGUUUACUUUGAAAAAAUUAGAGUGCUUAAAGCAGGCUUUUAGGCCUGAAUAUUCGUGCAUGGAAUAAUAGAAUAGGAUGUUGUUUCUAUUUUGUUGGUUUUCGGAAAUCGACAUAAUGAUUAACAGGGACAGUCGGGGGCAUUUGUAUUCAAGCGACAGAGGUGAAAUUCUUGGACCGCUUGAAGACAAACUACUGCGAAAGCAUUUGCCAAGAAUGUUUUCA
rnacentral:rRNA from 1 species